GAGUUUGAUCUUGGCUCAGAUUGAACGCUGGCGGCAUGCCUUACACAUGCAAGUCGAACGGCAGCACGGGAGCUUGCUCCUGGUGGCGAGUGGCGAACGGGUGAGUAAUGCAUCGGAACGUAUCCUGGAGUGGGGGAUAACGUAGCGAAAGUUACGCUAAUACCGCAUAUUCUGUGAGCAGGAAAGCGGGGGACCUUCGGGCCUCGCGCUCUUGGAGCGGCCGAUGUCGGAUUAGCUAGUUGGUGAGGUAAAGGCUCACCAAGGCGACGAUCCGUAGCAGGUCUGAGAGGAUGAUCUGCCACACUGGAACUGGGACACGGUCCAGACUCCUACGGGAGGCAGCAGUGGGAAUUUUGGACAAUGGGGGCAACCCUGAUCCAGCCAUGCCGCGUGAGUGAAGAAGGCCUCGGUUGUAAG
rnacentral:rRNA from 1 species